rnacentral:lncRNA from 1 species
UUUUAAUUAACUUUUAAUUAACAUCUUAUUUCAUCUAUUUUUACAAUGGCAUCUAUAUAACAUUUAAGCGGAAGUAAAAGUGAGAAGACAGCUGAUUUCCAUUAUUACUUGACGGAGAAACCUCUGUAAAUCUAGUAAGUGCCCAUUCUUAUCCAAAUCAAACAAGAGAUAUGAAACUUCCUCAUAAUGUGAACCUUCACAUUGUCUGGUUUUGAGCCAGUAUAAAUUCUGAACAUUUUUCUUCAAUUCUUCUUAGAAGUAUGCUUUUCAGUUCAGCUAAACUUUAAUCUAAAUGGUGAUUUCAGUAAAGACAGUGGAAUAAUACCAGGGACGAAUCUGGCUUCAUUCAAGAAGUCCUCGAAGAAUAAUGAAUCUGGAUCUGCUAAGGCAGAUGUCUGAAGUGAAUCUUAUUCCGUUGAUGGCUGAAUCUUUAUGAAGAUGCUUUAACUGUUGCUAUCAAUGGGUAGGUACAGCAGCAAGAACCAUGCGACGCUGAGGGCUCCUGGCUGCUGCAGCAGCUGUGAUAAAGCAGGACCUUGGGAACCAGCAUGGCUUACCUACGCCGGGGGUGGCUUGAGGUAGGGGAAAAAACGGUGUUACAGUACAGAAAUUAGAGGCCUGAUUUUCAACAUUCAAUUGAACGUGACUAGCCAGACUGUCUUCCAGAUUUUUUAGGUCUGACUGAGGCAAAACUGAGUUGUGUUAGAGAGAAGGAUAUCCUGGGAGGAACUCACUGUAUGUCAAAAGCUUCUAAAUGUUCAGCUAAUCAGUCUUAGUCAAUAAGGCUGUAGUUUUUAAAAGCUGCCAUUUUGUAAUCAAGUGUACUCUAA